rnacentral:rRNA from 1 species
UGGGGAAUAUUGGACAAUGGGCGAAAGCCUGAUCCAGCAACGCCGCGUGAGGGAUGACGGCCUUCGGGUUGUAAACCUCUUUCAGCAGGGACGAAGCGCAAGUGACGGUACCUGCAGAAGAAGCACCGUCCAACUACGUGCCAGCAGCCGCGGUAAUACGUAGGGUGCGAGCGUUGUCCGGAAUUAUUGGGCGUAAAGGGCUCGUAGGCGGUUUGUCGCGUCGGGAGUGAAAACUCAGGGCUUAACCCUGAGCUUGCUUUCGAUACGGGCAAACUAGAGGUAUGCAGGGGAGAACGGAAUUCCUGGUGUAGCGGUGAAAUGCGCAGAUAUCAGGAGGAACACCGGUGGCGAAGGCGGUUCUCUGGGCAUUACCUGACGCUGAGGAGCGAAAGUGUGGGGAGCGAACAGG